GUGUUAGGCAAAUCCGGCACUCAUAAGGUCAAGCUGUGAUGGGGAGAGGAAAUUGUUUCCUCGAGUCGUUGAUUUCACACUGCCGAGAAAAGCCUCUAGCUAGAUUUAUGGUGCCCGUACCGCAAACCGACACAGGUAGUCAAGAUGAGAAUUCUAAGGUGAGCGAGCGAACUCUCGUUAAGGAACUCGGCAAAAUGACCCCGUAACUUCGGGAGAAGGGGUGCUCUUUAGGGUUCACGCCCAGGAGAGCCGCAGUGAAUAGGCCCAAGCGACUGUUUAUCAAAAACACAGGUCUCUGCUAAACCGUAAGGUGAUGUAUAGGGGCUGACGCCUGCCCGGUGCUGGAAGGUUAAGAGGAGUGGUUAGCUUCUGCGAAGCUACGAAUCGAAGCCCCAGUAAACGGCGGCCGUAACUAUAACGGUCCUAAGGUAGCGAAAUUCCUUGUCGGGUAAGUUCCGACCCGCACGAAAGGCGUAACGAUUUGGGCACUGUCUCAACGAGAGACUCGGUGAAAUCAUAGUACCUGUGAAGAUGCAGGUUACCCGCGACAGGACGGAAAGACCCCGUGGAGCUUUACUGUAGUCUGAUAUUGAAAUUCGGUACAGCUUGUACAGGAUAGGUAGGAGCCUUAGAUACGUGAGCGCUAGCUUACGUGGAGGCGUUGGUGGGAUACUACCCUCGCUGUAUUGGAUUUCUAACCCGCACCAUUAAUCAUGGUGGGAGACAGUGUCAGAUGGACAGUUUGACUGGGGCGGUCGCCUCCUAAAGAGUAACGGAGGCGCUCAAAGGUUUCCUCAGAAUGGUUGGAAAUCAUUCAUAGAGUGUAAAGGCACAAGGAAGCUUGACUGCGAGACUUACAAGUCGAGCAGGGUCGAAAGACGGACUUAGUGAUCCGGUGGUUCCGCAUGGAAGGGCCAUCGCUCAACGGAUAAAAGCUACCCCGGGGAUAACAGGCUUAUCUCCCCCAAGAGUUCACAUCGACGGGGAGGUUUGGCACCUCGAUGUCGGCUCAUCGCAUCCUGGGGCUGUAGUCGGUCCCAAGGGUUGGGCUGUUCGCCCAUUAAAGCGGUACGCGAGCUGGGUUCAGAACGUCGUGAGACAGUUCGGUCCCUAUCCGUCGUGGGCGUAGGAAAUUUGAGAGGAGCUGUCCUUAGUACGAGAGGACCGGGAUGGACAUACCUCUGGUGUACCAGUUGUCGUGCCAACGGCAUCGCUGGGUAGCUAUGUAUGGACGGGAUAAGUGCUGAAAGCAUCUAAGCAUGAAGCCCCCCUCAAGAUGAGAUUUCCCAACUUCGGUUAUAAGAUCCCUCAAAGAUGAUGAGGUUAAUAGGUUCGAGGUGGAAGCAUAGCGAUAUGUGGAGCUGACGAAUACUAAUCGAUCGAAGACUUAAUCAAAUU
rnacentral:rRNA from 1 species